AGAGUUUGAUCCUGGCUCAGAACGAACGCUGGCGGCGUACUUAACACAUGCAAGUCGGACGGGAAAGGGGGCUUCGGCUCCUGAGUAUAGUGGCGCACGGGUGCGUAACACGUAAGUAAUCUGCCUCUGACUCCGGGAUAACGGCCCGAAAGGGCCGCUAAGACUGGAUAGGGUCCGCGACACGAUGGUGGCGUGGGGAAAAUCGGCUUCUUCGGGAGCAGGUGGUCGGAGAGGAGCUUGCGGCUCAUUAGCUCGUUGGUGGGGUAAUGGCUCACCAAAGCGACGAUGGGUAGCUGGUCUGAGAGGAUGAUCAGCCACACUGGCACUGAGACACGGACCAGACUCCUACGGGAGGCAGCAGUAAGGAAUAUUGGUCAAUGGAGGCAACUCUGAACCAGCCAUGCCGCGUGCAGGAAGACCACCCUACGGGUUGUAAACUGCUUUUGUCGGGGAAUAAACCUCUUUACGUGUAAAGAGUUGAAUGUACUCGAAGAAUAAGGAUCGGCUAACUCCGUGCCAGCAGCCGCGGUAAUACGGAGGAUCCAAGCGUUAUCCGGAUUUAUUGGGUUUAAAGGGUGCGUAGGCGGCCUGUUAAGUCAGGGGUGAAAGACGGUGGCUCAACCAUCGCAGUGCCUUUGAUACUGACAGGCUUGAAUGAACUUGAGGUAGGCGGAAUGUGACAAGUAGCGGUGAAAUGCAUAGAUAUGUCACAGAACACCAAUUGCGAAGGCAGCUUGCUAAGGUUUAAUUGACGCUGAGGCACGAAAGCGUGGGGAUCAAACAGGAUUAGAUACCCCUGUAGUCC
rnacentral:rRNA from 1 species